rnacentral:lncRNA from 1 species
UUGGAACAGCAACCGGCUCCGGUGCUGGCCGUGUGGUGGCCUGUGGUGAGUGGUCUCCGGCCCCUCCCUCCCUGAACGGCAGGCCGACGACAACACUCCGCUGAGGGCAGACCCCACCAGUUCGUGGCGCCAAACCCUCCGCGGCAUGCUCCUGCCGCUGCUCACGCCACUCGAUUCGUCCGGUCGGGGCAGCGGAAGGUGACCCCAUGCAGGUUUACGGCGUGGUGAAUUUCUGCUUCCGGAUUUAACACUCACAGACCAGACUGAGAAGCCUGGGGGCCUAGACUUGUUCAGUAACGUGCCCUUCCCCCACUACGGAUCAAAGCUACGAGGAGAGUGGGAAAUCAGGAACUCCUUUGUAAGAAGUAAGACAAGAUGCCCAUGGUCACACGGCGGCUGAGAGACCCUGACAUAAAUCCUUGCUUAUCGGUAGGGCGUGUAUAGAAUUCUGUCAUGAUCCAAAGAAGACAAAAUGGAGUUCAGCCAUCUAUGCCUACAGCAGCAGAAAGAGAUGAAAUUUUGGGAGCAAUGCAAAAGAUGCCCUAUUGAGUAUUUGCAUUAAAAUUGUUUCUAUAACUUG